CCUACGGGUGGCUGCAGUGGGGGAUAUUGCACAAUGGAGGGAACUCUGAUGCAGCGACGCCGCGUGAGGGAAGAAGGUUUUCGGAUUGUAAACCUCUGUCUUCGGUGACGAAACGAGACGGUAGCCGAGGAGGAAGCCACGGCUAACUACGUGCCAGCAGCCGCGGUAAUACGUAGGUGGCAAGCGUUGUCCGGAUUUACUGGGUGUAAAGGGCGUGCAGCCGGAGAGACAAGUCAGAUGUGAAAUCCACGGGCUCAACCCGUGAACUGCAUUUGAAACUGUUUCCCUUGAGUGUCGGAGAGGUAAUCGGAAUUCCUUGUGUAGCGGUGAAAUGCGUAGAUAUAAGGAAGAACACCAGUGGCGAAGGCGGAUUACUGGACGAUAACUGACGGUGAGGCGCGAAAGCGUGGGGAGCAAACAGGAUUAGAUACCCGAGUAGUC
rnacentral:rRNA from 1 species